UUUGAUAUGCAUGAAAGAUUGGAUUGUUGCGGGAAGAAGAGAUAAGAAGGUUGGUUCAAUUGUUGGUGAUCUUGAAGUUAUUGAGGCUAUUGUUUCAAACUUGAAGGUUGAGGACGAUGAUGUCAUAGACAGUGAUGGAGAUAUAGAUGGGCUAA